CAGUAGCCGCGGGAAUACGUAGGGUGCAAGCGUUAUCCGGAAUUAUUGGGCGUAAAGAGCUCGUAGGCGGUUUGUCGCGUCUGCCGUGAAAGUCCGGGGCUCAACCCCGGAUCUGCGGUGGGUACGGGCAGACUAGAGUGAUGUAGGGGAGACUGGAAUUCCUGGUGUAGCGGUGAAAUGCGCAGAUAUCAGGAGGAACACCGAUGGCGAAGGCAGGUCUCUGGGCAUUAACUGACGCUGAGGAGCGAAAGCAUGGGGAGCGAACAGGAUUAGAUACCCGCGUAGUCCCUGUCUCUUAUAC
rnacentral:rRNA from 1 species